CUACAUUGUAGCAAAACCAGUGAGC
rnacentral:misc_RNA from 1 species